GUAGGCUGCAACUCGCCUACAUGAAGUCGGAAUUGCUAGUAAUCGCGGAUCAGCAUGCCGCGGUGAAUACGUUCCCGGGCCUUGUACACACCGCCCGUCACACCAUGGGAGUCGGUAACACCCGAAGCCUGUAGUCUAACCGCAAGGGGGACGCAGUCGAAGGUGGGAUUGAUGACUGGGGUGAAGUCGUAACAAGGUAAC
rnacentral:rRNA from 1 species